CCCCUGUAAGGNAUACUAAUAUCCCAAAGAGUAAAAAAACAAUAAAAAANANAAACACAAAAGAAAAAAACCANAAAACAGCACAGAACGAGACCAAAAAAGAGUGACACAAAAACAAAAAAAANANANAAAAAAAAAAAACAGAACAAACAAAAAAAAACGNCGAAAAUAAAANCGAAAAUAAAAAAAAAAAGAAACAAAAAAAAA
rnacentral:rRNA from 1 species